CUGGCUCAGGACGAACGCUGGCGGCGUGCCUAAUACAUGCAAGUCGAGCGAACAGAGAAGGAGCUUGCUCCUUCGACGUUAGCGGCGAACGGGUGAGUAACACGUGGGCAACCUACCUUAUAGUUUGGGAUAACUCCGGGAAACCGGGGCUAAUACCGAAUAAUCUGUU
rnacentral:rRNA from 1 species